rnacentral:rRNA from 1 species
GGCCGCGGGUAAUUCGAUUACUGCUCAGUAACACGUGGAUAACCUGCCCUCAGGUCCGGCAUAAUCUCGGGAAACUGAGGAUAAUUCCGGAUAUCCCUUUUCUGUUGGAAGACUUAAAGGGACAAAGAAUUUCGCCUGAGGAUGGGUCUGCGGCCUAUCAGGUUGUAGGGGGUGUAACGUACCUCCUAGCCGACGACGGGUACGGGUUGUGAGAGCAAGAGCCCGGAGAUGGAUUCUGAGACAUGAAUCCAGGCCCUACGGGGCGCAGCAGGCGCGAAAACUUUACAAUGCAGGAAACUGUGAUAAGGAGACACCGAGUGCUCGCAUCAAAUGCGGGCUGUCCGCUUACUUAAAUCGUAAGCGUUAGCAAGGGCCGGGCAAGACCGGUGCCAGCCGCCGCGGUAAUACCGGUGGCCCGAGUGGUAGCCGCUUUUAUUGGGUUCUAAAGGGUCCGUAGCCGGUUCGGUCAGUCCAUUGGGAAAUCCNGAUGCUCAACAUCCGGGCUUCCAGUGGAUACUGCCGAACUUGGGAUCGGGGGAGGUAAGAGGUACUAUNAGGGGUAGGAGUGAAAUCUUUGUAANCCCUUGUGGACCACCUGUGGCGAAGGCNUCUUACCNAAACGAGUCCGACGGUGAGGGNCGNAAGCUUGGGGCNCGAAACCGGAUU